AUUGAACGCUGGCGGCAUGCCUUACACAUGCAAGUCGAACGGUAACAGGUCUUCGGAUGCUGACGAGUGGCGAACGGGUGAGUAAUACAUCGGAACGUGCCUAGUAGUGGGGGAUAACUACUCGAAAGAGUGGCUAAUACCGCAUGAGAUCUACGGAUGAAAGCAGGGGAUCGCAAGACCUUGUGCUACUAGAGCGGCCGAUGGCAGAUUAGGUAGUUGGUGGGAUAAAAGCUUACCAAGCCGACGAUCUGUAGCUGGUCUGAGAGGACGAUCAGACACACGGGGACUGAGACACGGCCCAGACUCCUACGGGAGGAAGCAGUGGGGAAUUUUGGACAAUGGGCGCAAGCCUGAUCCAGCAAUGUCGCGUGCAGGAUGAAGGCCUUCGGGUUGUAAACUGCUUUUGUACGGAACGAAAAGCCCUGGGUUAAUACCCUGGGGUCAUGACGGUACCGUAAGAGUAAGCACCGGCUAACUACGUGCCAGCAGCCGCCGUAA
rnacentral:rRNA from 1 species